GAUGAAGAACGUAGCGAAAUGCGAUAAGUAGUGUGAAUUGCAGAAUUCAGUGAAUCUUCGAAUCUUUGAACGCACAUUGCGCCCCUUGGUAUUCCAUGGGGCAUGCCUGUUCGAGCGUCAUUUGUACCUUCAAGCUUUGCUUGGUGUUGGGUGUUUGUCUCGCCUUUGCGUGUAGACUCGCCUUAAAAUAAUUGGCAGCCGGCGUAUUGAUUUCGGAGCGCAGUACAUCUCGCGCUUUGCACUCAUAACGACAGCGUCCAAAAGUACAUUUUACACUCUUGACCUCGGAUCAGGUAGGGAUACCCGCUGAACUUAAGCAUAUCAAUAAGCGGAGGA
rnacentral:misc_RNA from 1 species